AAGUGGAGAAGCAUUUGCAUUGAGGCCAACAUACGGGUUCCAAUUAUUUUAACAAAACCAAAAGAAUAACAAAUUGAUGUGUGCGUAUCUAAUUUUGCGAAAGUGAAACCGAGCUAAACUUGCAGAAAUUGAAGUCUGUGACAAGCUGAAUAAAGCUAAGAAAUAGUAGCUGGGUGAAGCUCAACAGAGCACGGUACAACAGCAGAGUCAUUAGCAUUUUAGUUCCAAAACAUUACUUGAAAAGCCAAACAAUGGAAGCACGCAGCAUUAUUUCCAAGCAAUUGCCGAGAUCGCAUUUUAAACCUAUUUUUCUCUAUUGUUAGAACCUAUUUUAUUUUUGAGACAGUGCUGUGGCGACGGGAGUGCGUAUGAUAGAUCAAGAUGAAUGGGAGAAGAAGAAGGAACGAAAAGAAAAUGGAGAAGAAGAAGAAGGGCUCGGAUGAGCCGUUUCUCUAUCAGAGAGGAAGGAUUCUAG
rnacentral:lncRNA from 1 species